rnacentral:rRNA from 1 species
GAGUUUGAUCCUGGCUCAGGACGAACGCUGGCGGCGUGCUUAACACAUGCAAGUCGAACGGUAAGGCCCCAGCUUGCUGGGGUACACGAGUGGCGAACGGGUGAGUAACACGUGGGUGACCUGCCCCGCACUUCGGGAUAAGCCUGGGAAACUGGGUCUAAUACCGGAUAGGACCGCACCGUGAGGGUGUGGUGGAAAGUUUUUCGGUGUGGGAUGGGCCCGCGGCCUAUCAGCUUGUUGGUGGGGUAAUGGCCUACCAAGGCGGCGACGGGUAGCCGGCCUGAGAGGGUGGACGGCCACAUUGGGACUGAGACACGGCCCAGACUCCUACGGGAGGCAGCAGUGGGGAAUAUUGCACAAUGGGCGGAAGCCUGAUGCAGCGACGCCGCGUGGGGGAUGACGGCCUUCGGGUUGUAAACUCCUUUCACCAUCGACGAAGGUUUUCUGACGGUAGAUGGAGAAGAAGCACCGGCUAACUACGUGCCUGCAGCCGCGGUAAUACGUAGGGCGCGAGCGUUGUCCGGAAUUACUGGGCGUAAAGAGCUCGUAGGUGGUUUGUCGCGUCGUCUGUGAAAUUCCGGGGCUUAACUCCAGGCGUGCAGGCGAUACGGGCAUAACUUGAGUACUGUAGGGGAGACUGGAAUUCCUGGUGUAGCGGUGAAAUGCGCAGAUAUCAGGAGGAACACCGGUGGCGAAGGCGGGUCUCUGGGCAGUAACUGACCCUGAGGAGCGAAAGCAUGGGUAGCGAACAGGAUUAGAUACCCUGGUAGUCCAUGCCGUAAACGGUGAGCGCUAGGUGUAGGGGUCUUCCACGACUUCUGUGCCGUAGCUAACGCAUUAAGCGCCCCGCCUGGGGAGUACGGCCGCAAGGCUAAAACUCAAAGGAAUUGACGGGGGCCCGCACAAGCGGCGGAGCAUGUGGAUUAAUUCGAUGCAACGCGAAGAACCUUACCUGGGCUUGACAUAUACGGGACCGGGCCAGAGAUGGUCCUUCCCUUGUGGCUCGUAUACAGGUGGUGCAUGGUUGUCGUCAGAAUCGUGUCGUGAGAUGUUGGGUUAAGUCCCGCAACGAGCGCAACCCUUGUCUUAUGUUGCCAGCACGUAAUGGUGGGGACUCGUGAGAAACUGCCGGGGUCAACUCGGAGGAAGGUGGGGAUGACGUCAAAUCAUCAUGCCCCUUAUGUCCAGGGCUUCACACAUGCUACAAUGGUCGGUACAGUGGGUUGCGAUGCCGUGAGGUGGAGCUAAUCCCUGAAAGCCGGUCUCAGUUCGGAUCGGGGUCUGCAACUCGACCCCGUGAAGUCGGAGUCGCUAGUAAUCGCAGAUCAGCAACGCUGCGGAGAAUACGUUGCCGGGCCUUGACACACCGCCCGUCA